CUAGCGUUGCUCGGAUUUACUGGGCGUAAAGGGCGCGUAGGCGGACAGUUAAGUCGGGGGUGAAAGCCCGGGGCUCAACCUCGGAAUUGCCUUCGAUACUGGCUGUCUUGAGUACGGGAGAGGUGUGUGGAACUCCGAGUGUAGAGGUGAAAUUCGUAGAUAUUCGGAAGAACACCAGUGGCGAAGGCGACACACUGGCCCGUUACUGACGCUGAGGCGCGAAAGCGUGGGGAGCAAACAGG
rnacentral:rRNA from 1 species